rnacentral:lncRNA from 1 species
AGAGUUCAGUGGCAGUUCUGAAAGGAGGAGAGGAAGUGGCUUACUCUGGGUAAAAGACUCCCUACUUCCUCAAGACUAAAGAGGCCUCCUCCUGGAUUUCCCGGAGCUUAGGGACGUGGUGUGAAGACAAAACAAGAGUGCUGUUGUGGGCUCUGCUCUCCCGGCCUGCAGGCUCCACACGUCACAGCUGCUGGAUAUUCGGUUCUUGCGCUCAAGCCCCGCCCCUAAGGGCCUUGCCCUUCGUUCUGGCUUUUACAUGAUCCGCAUCGAGGAGCCUUUUACAGAAGUGGCUCCAGGAGCAUCCACAUCUGCCUCUCGGGGCCCACGGGGCCCAGGCCAGCUACAGAAGCACCCUGCUUUCCAUGGGAAAAUGCUGCAAAUGGGGGAGAAAGGAGAGAAGGGUUUCAGACUGCAAAGACCCUUCGACAUCAGCUAGCACCAAGUUCCAUCAUGUAAAUAAACUGAAGGGCUUCAGACCGGGAGUGAAGCCAAGCAGACCUCCCCACUGUCACUGUCCAGCCUGAAGCCGCCCUGGUGAAGCAGGUGGAGGAGCAGCUCCAGGCCCGGCUCCCCGGCCUCCCUCCCUCAGCUCCAGGGCACUCACGUGCUUGAAACAGCUGACGGGAGCAGCCUUGUAACUGUGAUCCUUCAGGAACUUCCCCCAGUCGAAGCCCAAGACCAGAGCUGCAGAGCAGAGAGGACGAGUCAGACUAGGAGCCUGCGCAGCAGCCACUCCAGGAGCCUGGACCCCAAGGGCCCUGUGGGACCUGCAGAGGGGACACUCUGAAGGCACCUGGCUCAGAACCACUGCCAUCCAAGGAGCGAGGAGUCCCAGGGCUGAGCAAAUGCAGCGGGGAGGUCGGCAGUUCCCCUGCUUCCCGAUCCUCAUUUUCUGCUUCACUUGACUCCUCCAGAUAGGAGCUGCUCUCACUGCCCACACUGCUGUUAUAACUCCGGAAACUAUCAUAGCCACCAAACAGCUCCAAGUCGUCAUCUUCCUCUUCCUCCAUUGGUUCUGAAGAUGGGGUCUCCUAAUGGAGGAUGA